rnacentral:sRNA from 1 species
GCUGGGCAUGGCGGUGCAUGCCUGUAAUCCUAGUGGCUUGGGAGGCUGAGGCAGGAGGAUUGUGAGUUCAAAGGGUUUAGUGAGGCGCUAAGCAACUCAGUGAGACCUUGUCUCUA